UACGGGGGGGGCAAGCGUUGUUCGGAAUUACUGGGCGUAAAGGGCUCGUAGGCGGCCAACUAAGUCAGACGUGAAAUCCCCCGGCUUAACCUGGGAACUGCGUCUGAUACUGGAGGGCUUGAGUGCGGGAGAGGGAUGUGGAAUUCCAGGUGUAGCGGUGAAAUGCGUAGAUAUCUGGAGGAACACCGGUGGCGAAGGCGGCAUCCUGGACCGACACUGACGCUGAGGCGCGAAAGCUAGGGUAGCAAACGGG
rnacentral:rRNA from 1 species